rnacentral:rRNA from 1 species
CCUACGGGGGGCAGCAGUGAGGAAUAUUGGUCAAUGGGCGCGAGCCUGAACCAGCCAAGUCGCGUGAGGGAGGACGGCCCUACGGGUUGUAAACCUCUUUUGCCGGGGAGCAACGGGCGUCACGUGUGGCGCCACUGAGAGUACCCGGAGAACAAGCAUCGGCUAACUCCGUGCCAGCAGCCGCGGUAAUACGGAGGAUGCGAGCGUUAUCCGGAUUUAUUGGGGUUUAAGGGUGGGUAGGCGGAUCGUUAAGUCAGUGGUCAAAUUGAGGGGCUCAACCCCUUCCCGUCAUUGAAACUGGCGUUCUUGAGUGGAAGAGAAGUAUGCGGAAUGCGUGGUGUAGCGGUGAAAUGCAUAGAUAUCACGCAGAACCCCGAUUGCGAAGGCAGCAUGCCGGCUUCCGACUGACGCUGAAGCACGAAAGCGUGGGGAUCGAACAGGAUUAGAUACCCCUGUAGUC